CCAAUUCCAAAACAACUUGAAUAAAAGUCUUAGAGAAUCUGAUUUUAACAGUACUUAACUAUUUUACUUCUACUAAAUAUAGGCUCAAAACAAUGCACUAGGCAAA